rnacentral:rRNA from 1 species
AUGAACGCUUGUCGUCGUGCCUUAAUACAUGCAAGUCGAGCGAACAGACGAGGAGCUUGCUCCUCUGACGUAGCGGCGGACGGGUGAGUAACACGUGGAUAACCUACCUAUAAGACUGGGAUAACUUCGGGAAACCGGAGCUAAUACCGGAUAACAUGUUGAACCGCAUGGUUCAACAGUGAAAGACGGUCUUGCUGUCACUUAUAGAUGGAUCCGCGCCGCAUUAGCUAGUUGGUAAGGUAACGGCUUACCAAGGCAACGAUGCGUAGCCGACCUGAGAGGGUGAUCGGCCACACUGGAACUGAGACACGGUCCAGACUCCUACGGGAGGCAGCAGUAGGGAAUCUUCCGCAAUGGGCGAAAGCCUGACGGAGCAACGCCGCGUGAGUGAAGAAGGUCUUCGGAUCGUAAAACUCUGUUAUUAGGGAAGAACAAAUGUGUAAGUAACUAUGCACGUCUUGACGGUACCUAAUCAGAAAGCCACGGCUAACUACGUGCCAGCAGCCGCGGUAAUACGUAGGUGGCAAGCGUUAUCCGGAAUUAUUGGGCGUAAAGCGCGCGUAGGCGGUUUUUUAAGUCUGAUGUGAAAGCCCACGGCUCAACCGUGGAGGGUCAUUGGAAACUGGAAAACUUGAGUGCAGAAGAGGAAAGUGGAAUUCCAUGUGUAGCGGUGAAAUGCGCAGAGAUAUGGAGGAACACCAGUGGCGAAGGCGACUUUCUGGUCUGUAACUGACGCUGAUGUGCGAAAGCGUGGGGAUCAAACAGGAUUAGAUACCCUGGUAGUCCACGCCGUAAACGAUGAGUGCUAAGUGUUAGGGGGUUUCCGCCCCUUAGUGCUGCAGCUAACGCAUUAAGCACUCCGCCUGGGAGACACCGACCUUGG